rnacentral:lncRNA from 1 species
CCGCGUCCGUCCUUCAGGUCCCCAAAUCCCGACCGGAGUCAGUUAACUCCCCUUAGCCCGCUCCCCUCCGGUCGGAGCUCGUGUCCAGGAGCACUUCCCACGUCCGUCUGUCUGUCCGCUGCUGCCUGAGCUGCGUCCCCGUCCCUUCCCCCCGCCGCCCGUCAGACAAAGGCAGAACGACGCGUUACCUCAAUGAGAACCAGGAUGUUUAGGAGAAGAGAAGCAUCGUUCAACAACACAAGAAGAUGAUCAGGCCUCCAGCUGCACAGCUCUUCGGUGUUUUAUAUUUAGCUAGAUGGAUCCCAGAGUUUCCCAGAAUUACAAUAUUAAUUUCUGCCCUAUCAGCUGAAAAACACAUGCAUUUUCUCAAUCAUUUAGACAGCUUUAUAGAGGUAAAAUAUGACGGAGGGGGCUGGGGAUGGUAGAUCAGGGGGAUUACGUAUACGCACUUAAGAACACAACGUCUUUUCCCCCCCGUUUAAUAUAAUCGCAACAUAUUUCCUGACUCCAGCCUACCACGGCUCUUUAUCCAGUUAACAUUCCCAAGGCUGAUGCUUGAAGUAUCUAAGAUCACUUUCAAAUGCCCUUUCUAACAAGACCUGAGCAAGAGGCCACUAAUUUUCAGUGAACAAAAAGCCACUGGAGAGAGAUCCGUUUGUCAAUAUCAACUGGUCCAGCAAUUUCCCAUCUUCAGACACAUCGGCCUAUCUGAGCUGGCAGAUGUUUAGACAAGAUUUUAUAAAUUGUUCAAUAUCAGACCAUAAUGAACCCCAACUGACCAUUCCAAAGCAGCUAAAAGCAUUCAGGAUCUCCCCUGCUGGGAUCUAAUAAUGCUCUCACGCUGGAAGAUUAUUAAUCACGGAAUAAAAUAGAUGAGCCUCUUGAAAAAUAAGUGUAUGAUUGAUUAAAGGGCAAUCUAAGAAGCUAUUAUUCUUGUUUUAUAACCGUAAGCUAUAUUCACUCAAUUUAUCUUUUGGGGAAAAUAAAUGAUUGUUCGUUUCUUUUCUGAAAUUAUAUUAUAUGAGGAUUCCCAUUAUUUCACUGAAAAUUAAAAUGAUUAGUUAGCUGAUUUUAUGAGCUCACUCGAGGUGGAUUCCUCCUAUGACUAUCAAAUCAAAGAUGUACGAAAAAAAAAAAAGGAAAAAAAGAUCAUUAAAAACAGGAAUCAGACUUUUUUCUCUUUGUGCAUCUGUGCUUGCGCAUUUUAGCCAGAAGCAGAAACAAAGAAAUUAGAAAUAAACUGCAGUUGAUUGUAAUUCCUUUUUGUUUUCCCUAGAAAUGUUGGAUGAAAAGAACAUUAACCCUAAUAAAGAGCUACCUCACGCCCAGCAUAAGUAGUUUUAAGAAACAUGCAUGUAUUCACAUUGCUCUCUCUACGCAUUUGCAUGUGUGUAUACAAAUACGUAUUUGCACACAUGUGCGCAUUUAAAGCUUCAGUACAACAGAACGACCCAGAAUGAAUUAAUUUAUGCAGGGCAUAUCUUUGCAACAUGUUUAAAUCGCUUACUCGUUUUAUGGUCUAAGCUGCACUAGUGAAAUUACAACUUUCAUCAUUUUCUGGAUGAUAUAUUACUACUUUGGGGGAAAUAAAGAAAAAACACCAUAUUGUUGCAGACUAGUCUGUUUUUAUUUACAAUUAGAGAUAUAAAUUAGUAAAGAAUUCUCGUUAAACAACCAAAGAUUGUAUAACCAUCAACGUUUCAAAUAAAAACCAGGCAAAAUUUAUUUACAAAAAGUUCAGAUUCCAUUGCAAUACAACUUGCAUAAAUUACUAGAAGCUUUAUAUCGUUACAAAAAUAAAUAUCAAAUUUGUUUCCACUUUGUAAGGACUCAAGUUCUCCAAUCACGUCUUUAUUAUCUCUACUGUAUACAUCUUUUACAAAUAAAUUUUACAAUAAAUCCUAUCACACCUAUCGAAUAUAUACCGUGGCAAUGAAGUGAUCAAUUCGAGAUAUCCUGAGAAAAACAGAUCUGUUUUCAAAAGUCACACGUACAUUGGGGAAACUAUACUAUACCAGCAAACUCACAUUAUGUCCGACAAAAUUCUGGUUUAAUAAUUAGAGUCUGAAGAUUUAAUAGUGCUCUGUGGUCUUCUUUUAUACAGUGGCACAAGAUGUGAUCCGGAUUUAGAGAUUUGUUAUAUAUAUUAGCUCAGGGAGAGAUGAUGGCUUGCUGACUUUUUUCAAAGCAAUUGUGACACCUACCUGUGGACCAAGGAAAAAACCAGAUCAUCCAAAAAU